AUGAACGCUGGCGGCGUGCCUAAUACAUGCAAGUCGAGCGAACAGACGAGGAGCUUGCUCCUCUGACGUUAGCGGCGGACGGGUGAGUAACACGUGGAUAACCUACCUAUAAGACUGGGAUAACUUCGGGAAACCGGAGCUAAUACCGGAUAAUAUAUUGAACCGCAUGGUUCAAUAGUGAAAGACGGUUUUGCUGUCACUUAUAGAUGGAUCCGCGCCGCAUUAGCUAGUUGGUAAGGUAACGGCUUACCAAGGCAACGAUGCGUAGCCGACCUGAGAGGGUGAUCGGCCACACUGGAACUGAGACACGGUCCAGACUCCUAAGGGAGGCAGCAGUAGGGAAUCUUCCGCAAUGGGCGAAAGCCUGACGGAGCAACGCCGCGUGAGUGAAGAAGGUCUUCGGAUCGUAAAACUCUGUUAUUAGGGAAGAACAAAUGUGUAAGUAACUAUGCACGUCUUGACGGUACCUAAUCAGAAAGCCACGGCUAACUACGUG
rnacentral:rRNA from 1 species